rnacentral:lncRNA from 1 species
AAAUAGAGAGUUUUAUUUUAAGUUUUCAUCAAUUUUAUAUUUUCUUGAUUCCUUUAUCGCUGGGUGUUGAAAGAGUCUCCGUCAACUUCUUCCGCGUUCGUGCUCGUAGGAGGAGGAGUUACGGUCGUAUCUUGGGGCGGUGUUUCCGGUUAAUCCUGCACGAAGGACGGGAAUACGUCUUAGGGCAGUGCUUCGCAUGCUUCCGAAUCAAACUAUUUGUCAUUAUUCUUCUACAAUAUUUUAAAAUUUAGCGAUUAUCGGUAAGUUGAUUUUAUUAAUUUCAUUACUAAAUUAGUUAGAUCUAGUCACAAUCGGAUUAUUCGCUGCGGUUUUUCCCCAACAAUCUAAGGUGUAUUCCAAUUUGAUUGUGAUUAAAAUCUAAUAAGUGCUAAUCCGAAAAAUAAUAAUUGUGCAUAUUGCAUAUAAUUUGUGUUUGAUAACUUGCUUGUAUGAUUGACAUACAAAAUUAAUUUAAAUUGGGAUUAGCAUUUUUAAAUUCUAAUUGCAUAUAGUUUACUUGCCAUUUUUAUUUGA